UAUAGAACAGAACCAGUGCUUGAAUUGUUUGGACCAAACUACCCCUUCACUGGUUCAGACUCUGUUACCGUUUUUAAAAUGUUGAUACCAAUCUUUCCCGCUUUGUAAAAUCCAAUUCUAGAAAAUGUUUACAAAUUCCUGACUAAUUGCAGGUAUCCACGGGAUUAUGUUCAUCGUGUGGGCCGUACUGCAAGAGCUGGCAGAGGAGGGCUGGCCAUGAGCUUUGUUACACAGAUGACUGUGGAAGAGAGCAAAGAGGCAGAUACAAGUACUGGUGGAGAAACUCACAGAAUCUCUAGAGGAAUUCAUGACAAGGUGGGUUGAUCCUCUUGAGGCCUGAUCAUGAUGGCCCACUCCGGUUUGCAGCAGCUGCAGCGUUUCUUAGUAAAUUAUACAAAGACUAUCUUGGUAUUAUUAGGAGUUAUGGAGGCAGUUGUGGUUCCCAGUCAUUUUCCAUGGUGUCGUUUGUUGAUAAUGUGGGUUUGAAGCUCAUCAUGUUGUGUGCAUGAUAUCCAAUCUGUCCAUCACAUUCGCCACCACAUUUUCUUCUCAUAUCCCAAAACUCAGGCCCAUUCAAGACUUGGAAUUCAACUACAUUAAUCAUUUUGGUGGUUUAAUCCAAACUGUUCAAAAUUUAUCUCUUGA